rnacentral:rRNA from 1 species
AUUGAACGCUGGCGGCAUGCUUUACACAUGCAAGUCGAACGGCAGCGCGGGCUUCGGCCUGGCGGCGAGUGGCGAACGGGUGAGUAAUGCAUCGGAACGUGCCCAGUAGUGGGGGAUAGCCCGGCGAAAGCCGGAUUAAUACCGCAUACGACCUGAGGGUGAAAGCGGGGGACCGAAAGGCCUCGCGCUAUUGGAGCGGCCGAUGUCGGAUUAGCUAGUUGGUGGGGUAAAGGCUUACCAAGGCGACGAUCCGUAGCUGGUCUGAGAGGACGACCAGCCACACUGGGACUGAGACACGGCCCAGACUCCUACGGGAGGCAGCAGUGGGGAAUUUUGGACAAUGGGGGCAACCCUGAUCCAGCCAUGCCGCGUGCGGGAAGAAGGCCUUCGGGUUGUAAACCGCUUUUGUUCGGGAAGAAAUCCUCUGGGCUAAUACCCCGGGGGGAGGACGGUACCGGAAGAAUAAGCACCGGCUAACUACGUG